AUGUGGUGGAAUGAAGAGUAAAUGGAGGGGAAGAAAUGAAAGAAGCAAAUGAAAACUAUUCUUUUAGUAAUUUUGGUAAAGAAGAGAAGGGUAUGAAUGAAAUAGUGUAAGAGUAUUUUAUCAGCUGUGUUGGGAUUAAGAUGGCCAACUCUCAAUCCAGGCUGCCUAGCUUUGAAUUUUGGCUUUACCACCUUUUCACUGUGAUCUUGAGCAAGUUACAUAACUUCCCUGUGUUCCAGUUUCCUCAUCUAGAAAACAACGAUGAUGAUGAUGUCAGUGAUAACCUAUUUUGUACGUUCUCAUAAAUGGUAAGUAUGUUAAUAUAUGCAAACUUACUGGAGCAUUGCCUUGUCCAUGAUAAACUCAACUAGUGUUUGCUCAUCUCAAUUAUCCAGAAAAAAAAUGGAGAAGGGAGGAGGUUGGGCAGUAGUUUUGGAGGCAGAUGCAAUACUGAAAGAAGAUAUUUUUAGGAUAAGUGGAGUGAAUUGUGAAUUCUGACUGCUCUGGUCUGAUCCUAAGUUUCAGUUUUUAGCUAGGUCUGCUCAGUUCAUGAAAUCACAGUGGGCAGGGACCUUCACACAAAGCACCGAGGAUGAGAUGAAUGACAGGAGAGAGGGCAGAUUGGCAGAGCACUGUGUGGGAAAUUAAGCAGUCCCUGGUCUCAUGUCUUACCAUUGCAAUAAUCAGAAGAGCAGGUCUCAUAUCUUGCCUCAGUUUUUUAGGGUUUGAAGCAACAUGGAUCUCUCAAAUGUGAGCACCAAGACUGAAAACCACUAAGGAUAAUGAGAAGCUGUCUUUGUGCACACAUUUUGGUCUCCUCCCAUCCAUGCUGGAAAUAGCCACUUCAAUAUCAUCAGAAGGGUAUAAUGCUGGGAGACACUCUCUGGCCUCAUGGAGUUCCCUGUCCAGUUGGAUGGACACAAAGGCAAGAAGACACAGGGAGCGUGACAGCAGCUAUGAGAGGUGUUGGAGCCUGCGGCUGGGGUGGGCGCGGUGCCGGAAGGCUUCCUGAAGGGAAGGGCUUCUCCACCAGAUCCUAAAAACCAACUGGAACAGACUUUUUCCUCCUGCUAUUGGGCAUCAGAAGCCCAAGUUCUCUGGCCUUUGGACUCCAAGACCUGCAACAGUGCCAUGGUUUCCCUCCUGGCCCCAGUGGAUUUCAGUGCUGACUGAAAGUUACACCAUCAGCUUCCUUGAUUCUGAGGCCUUUGGGCAUGGACUGAGUCACCCUGCCAGCUACCCCGGUUCUCCAUAAUCAUGUUAGACAGUUCCCUGCCUGUGGGCUCCUGAAGGAAAGGAGAGAUGAGAUCAUUAUGGGCAGAACUUAGAACCUCUGGAUGAAUAGAGACGAGGUAAAAUUCUGGCACCUAUCCACAGCCUGAACCUUGGAGAACACCUCCCUUUCAUAUGACUUCUGCAAAGGGCGUGUUUCAGCUCACAGGGACAAAGAGUCACUGCACCAGAGAACCAGAAAGAGGUCACAAAAACACCAUGGGAAACGAUGAUGUCUUUUCCUUUUUGUUAUCUUGAUAAAGCUUCAUACAUGAAUGAUAAAAUGGAAAUUUCAGUUGAGGAACUAAUAAAUCAACAGAUGUCUUACUCCACAACGAGGUGCAAGAUCUUGAGGCUGGAUUUAGAAAGAGGAAGAGAAGACCAAUUGCACAGCUCAUCACCCCUCACCCAUCUGAUGAUAUGAAAGGUUUGAAGGAAGCCAGAGCUGGAGCAAGAUUUUCCUCAGAUGAGUUUUGAUGAACUACAAAGAAUGAAGAUGCUCUCCCUUGUCAUCCCCAGUCAAAGAAAAGGCACUUUAAAGAAAUCACUCACGAGCCAGAUAUUGUGGUUGUAUUUUGGUGGACACAGUGAAGUCACGUCUGGCUCGCUCCGCAAAUACUGGGAGGGUGAGAAGUGGGAGGCAGCCGUGGGACCGCUGAGUGGAGGAGGCUGACCUUUGAGGAAGCACGUGGGAUUUUUCCCCGCGGAACAGACGUGAGCCAUGAACACGGGAGCAAAAGUGUGCUAGAGUAACUCCCGUCAAAGAGAGACCCUUACUAGGGCAAGAAGACCUUGAUCAAAGCAUACCCAGAUGCCGAGGUUCUGAGGAAGGAAAUAAGUGACCACCAGGCAUGGUGCUCUGAUUAUUAAGCUAGUUUCUCAGCUCCAAACUCAACCUUCACUGCUUAGCCUUGUCACGGUGGGAAGGCUGGGAGAGGCCAAACCACCUUUCCCCUUUGCCAGGGCUCCCUGAUCAGUUCUGCCUAUGUGCUACUAAGGGAAACAGUAAGGCUGGAGGAGGGAAAGGGGACACCACCCUUCUCUUUGCGCACUGCUUAUGCCAGCAGCAUCCGAGCAAUACCGCUUGCCCUGUAGUGCUUCUUGAGUCGGAUUUCAGUUCAGUGUCUGGGUUUUUUAACAUUUCUAUAACCAUUCUCCC
ensembl:lncRNA novel transcript